UGGGGAAUAUUGCGCAAUGGGCGAAAGCCUGACGCAGCAACGCCACGUGAGUGAUGAAGGCCUUCGGGUCGUAAAGCUCUGUCGGAGGGAACGAAUGCUCCUGAAGUUAACAGCCUCAGGAGGUGACGGUACCCUCAAAGGAAGCACCGGCUAACUCUGUGCCAGCAGCCGCGGUAAUACAGAGGGUGCAAGCGUUGUUCGGAAUCAUUGGGCGUAAAGGGCGUGUAGGCGGUAUGUUAAGUCAUGUGUGAAAUCCCUCGGCUCAACCGGGGAACGACGCAUGAAACUGGCAAGCUAGAGUGCAGAAGGGGCAAUCGGAAUUCUUGGUGUAGCGGUGAAAUGCGUAGAUAUCAAGAGGAACACCUGAGGUGAAGACGGGUUGCUGGGCUGACACUGACGCUGAGGCGCGAAAGCCAGGGGAGCAAACGGGAUUAGAUACCCAUGUAGUCCCUGAGCGGGCUGGCAAGGCGCAU
rnacentral:rRNA from 1 species